rnacentral:tRNA from 1 species
GGCUUCGCGGUGUAGUGGUCAGCACGCUGGGCGCAUAUUCCAGAGGUCCGUGGUUCGAGUCCCGGCGAAGGCG